UUCUUUGUGUUUUCUUGUGAAAUUGAGUAGUUAUAUAUCUUCUUUGACUAGUCCCGAUGAUGAAUAUGUCCACAUUUGAGUUGAAUGAAAGAGUAAGCAUGUUUUAGAUCGGUUGAGCUCAAUCAUUGGUUAGUGACUUUGCUUUUGUAGUGUAUGCAGAUGGCCUGGUUACUUCAAUUUGUUAGAUUUGAAAGAGCAUGUAUCUAGACUUGUACGAGACACGCAUGACCUAUUUAUCAGCUACUGAAACUAUGGUGAAGGGAACUAGGGAGGUUUUGGAUUUGGUUGGCUCUGGACAGUUGUGACUUGGUCUAUUUUUGUGGUCUUGUUGGGGUUCAUUUAUUGCAACAAUGCAGGAGUACCUGAAAAGCAACAACAUUAAGGGACCGGUGAGAGAAUGUUCCUGGACCGACAAGCUUUUCUUUGAGGAAAUAUCAUACGGCUAAAGGAACUUAGUCGAUCAAGAACCUCACGUCCUUCACAUGCACGGUAGUUCCCACUUACACUAAAGAUUUCCAUGGAGAUGCUACAUAGAUUGAACGUGAAGUGACCAGCAAUGAGUUGAAGAUGAUUGGCCGUCAUUUUUAGACUCAUCAUAAGGCGUUUAAGGUGAAUGACCACAAAUUGAAGCCUGACUUUGAGGCCUUUAAAGAGCACAUUGUGGAGGAAGUACAGGAUACGCCAUUCACACAGAGCUAAAAUGGAGGUACAAGUCUAGGCUGAAAGACUAUAAACAUUAAGCGCUGCUUGGGAGGCAACCCAAUUCAACCGUAGCUAUGGACGAGCCAUCAACGGAGAUUGGUCUUCUUGAACUCUUCCUUUAUUUUUCCAUUUUGUUUUUCGCAUUUAUUAGUUUGACAGUGUGUUGUUUGUGUGAAUCCAUGUUUCCAUGCUUAUAUUCUAACCAUUCGUUUGCUUUCUGAGUCUUUUGUUUGUUUUCGAGUCAUAAGAGCCCUUAAUUGUCUAUGAUGAUUAAAAUCUCUGAAAUUAUGGAUAAGAGAUCACAAGAUUGAGCUGAUUUAUAACUGAUGUUCGGUUUGUUAAUUGAAAUGAAUGGAAAUCAUGUGAAAUGUAGUGGAUAUGAUUUGAAACUUUGGUACAGAAAUGAGCAUGCUAAUAUGAGUUUUGAUUCAUAUGAACCCAAUGUGAGCUUUUGAGCCUAUAUAUGUGCUAUUCUUUCUGAUGAGUGAUUAUUGAAAAAUUCUGAUUCGUUUUCUUAGCUUUGAAUUUUUCGAAAACCUCAUUAUUCUUUCAAUUUGAUUGAUUGCUCACCAUAGCUUUUAAUGAACUCUAGAUGACUAGAACUCACUCUUGUGGACUUUCGAAACUUUUAAUCAUAAAACACUCUGAUUUUGGAAAGGAUAAAUGGAACUUUUUAGGAUGAACACCAUUGCCAAACAGCUUGCGUCCCCUAUUUGUGUGCGCUGCACACCCCUUAGUUUUGAGCCUACAUUGAGACUUUUUUUUCUAACACCCGUGGAAUUUUUACCUUGAGCUUAGUACAAUGAUAUCCCUACCCUUGUCCUUUGGGCCUAGUAGAGCAAUUGUGAUGUAUCGUAUGAAAUGAUGAUGUGAAACAAGUGUGGGGGAAUUGAAUGUCUGUGUAAAAGAAAAGAAAAUUUCGGCGGGGGAC